rnacentral:lncRNA from 13 species
CUUUGCUCGAGGGAAGCAUAAAAUAGUCUCGUUUGAAAGAAGGAUUUUGUGGCAUGUGAUACUGGGAGACUGACGCGUGUUCGUGGUUCACGGAUGUUACUACGAAAACGGAUCUCGACAGUUUUUGUGCCUCUGUAGCGUUUUAUGUUAGCAAUGGAUCUCUAUCCCUCUUCGGAGUCUGUUACGCGGAUAGGGAGGGAGUCGUGCCGUUUGUUCCCCGGGUGCUCUAGCUGUUGAUAGCUAGCCUCAAAAGAAAAGAACAAUGAACGGAAUCAAACAGUUUUGUUUUAUGCUUUUAUCCUACUGACAUUUUAAAGACACUCACCGGGAACAUUUUGUAUUUGUUGAACGAACCAUUAGUCGAACAACUAGACAAACAGCUUCCUUGGACAGUGGCCCGUUGAGGCGACACAAUGGGAUUAUUUUUGACCAUUGGCUGAGGACUGUUUUUAAAAGUUCCUUUAUCUCAGAGAAUAUAGUGGUGAGUUUUAGGACAGAGCACAUAUUUGAGCAACAAUUGGAUGAAUUGAUCAUCUAGCUGCCUCAAUUCGCGGAGAAGACCAUUGUGAGCACUCGCCGGACAAUCGCAUGUUGUCCAGUCCAGUUGGUCUGGUCUAGAACGGCACCAUCACUGGAGCACGACACAAAGAACCACGAUGGCGAAUGACUCGAUACAAAUGUUCUCCUGACCUGUCACAUAGAAGGCCUCGUGGGGAGAAGUGCGGCGUCUACCUCUGCUUCUCUUCCCAACCUUUAGUCACCUUUCUUCACCUCCUCUCAGCCUCGAGGGAGUAAAGUACUGAGGAGGAUAGUAAACAACACACUGUGGCUCAGGAGACCGCGGCCUGUAGCAAAUCAAAGUAAAACGCUUUAGAAGUGGACCAUAUUGAAGGCAGUUAUUUUUGAAGAAAGCAGCCGACCUCCCCACCUCCAGAAGUCUGUAUUGUACUUUCUCCUUUGUGAUGGUACAUCCUGUCCAGUGUACAGUAGCCUAGUAUCCACAGGCGGCAGAGCAAACCAUAUAGAGGGGUGUAGUGAGCCUAUC